GAUGAAGAACGCAGCGAAAUGCGAUAAGUAAUGUGAAUUGCAGAAUUCAGUGAAUCAUCGAAUCUUUGAACGCACAUUGCGCCCGUCAGUAUUCUGGCGGGCAUGCCUGUUCGAGCGUCAAUACGCCCCUCAAGUCCCCUGUGGACUUGGUGUUGGGGAUCGGCGAGGCUGGUUUUCCAGCACAGCCGUCCCUUAAAUUAAUUGGCGGUCUCGCCGUGGCCCUCCUCUGCGCAGUAGUAAAACACUCGCAACAGGAGCCCGGCGCGGUCCACUGCCGUAAAACCCCCCAACUUUUUAUAGUUGACCUCGAAUCAGGUAGGACUACCCGCUGAACUUAAGCAUAUCAUAAGCGGAGGA
rnacentral:misc_RNA from 1 species